AAGGGCUGUGGUCCAGGCACUGGGCAGGACCAGCUCUGAAAGGAAGAUGCUCUGAGCCAGUCUGGAACGAUGGCCACAGACUGACAGGAGCAGACACGAACCGGACACGAAGCACUGGGACAGGAGAGAACCCGUGUGGAUGGGAGCUUCUCCCAGGAGGUGGUGAAGGUGUCAGCAUCAUUUAUCAAGUGUUCACUCUGUGCCAGGCCCGGGGCUGAGUGUCUACACAUCCGAUGGCCGUGCUUUCAGUCCACAAACCCAGUGGGACAAGAACUGAACUAUAACUUCCUUUCUUUCUUCCCACCUGAACUGUGUUAUUAUUUUGCGCCUCCAGUUUGCCGAGUGGCGGAAACCUGAUCUCAGGCCAUUCGAUCCCACCCUGCCUGGGUGGGUUGAUGUCUUAAGUUCCAGGGCCCUUACAGGGUAUGGAGGCAUGGCGGCACUGGGAGAGGU
rnacentral:lncRNA from 1 species